GCACCCCAUACCCCCAAGAUUGAAGCUCAAGAUAUUGCCCCUCAAUUUAUACUUAUUAACAAUCAUGGCGGAAAGGGAUGGAGUAGGAUUAAACAAGCUGCAAUUCACAACAAGAAUACCAAUAUCCUUAGGUUUGAUAUUGGUACUGGCAAAGAGAUUAUCCAGCGCACCAAACAUCACCUGCUCUGACUCUUCCCUUGCUGCUGCCAUUGAUGGCCUUGGUGGAAUGUAAUGCAUAGCUUCAGGGACAUAAGUCUCUUCGCCGAGGCCUGAUCUCUCCAGAAUCUUGCGCUGAAAUUCCAACGAGGAAUCAUCAAAAUCGCCAGUUAGCUUCGAAUGCUCCAUGAACCGAUGAAACCCGACCUUGAGAUUAGAUGGAGGCUUAUAGCAAGCGUAAUCAACGAGAUAAACUGAUCUGGGUCGAGUCAUAAUAUACACAGUACAUCCAAAGACAACAAAAACGGAGCAGACAAUGA
rnacentral:misc_RNA from 1 species